rnacentral:rRNA from 1 species
UACGUAGGGGGCAAGCGUUGUCCGGAUUUAUUGGGCGUAAAGAGCGUGUAGGCGGCCAGUUAGGUCCGUUGUGAAAACUCGAGGCUCAACCUCGAGACGCCGAUGGAAACCAACUGGCUAGAGUCCGGAAGAGGAGAGUGGAAUUCCCGGUGUAGAGGUGGAAUUCGUAGAUAUUAGGAAGAACACCAGUGGCGAAGGCGGCUCACUGGUCCGGUACUGACGCUGAGGUGCGAAAGCGUGGGGAGCAAACAGG